rnacentral:rRNA from 1 species
GGGCCCGCACAAGCGGAGGAACAUGUGGUUUAAUUCGAUGAUACGCGAGGAACCUUACCCGGGUUUGAACGCAUUUUGACAGGGGCGGAAACGUCCUUUCCAGCAAUGGCAAUUUGCGAGGUGCUGCAUGGUUGUCGUCAGCUCGUGCCGUGAGGUGUCGGCUUAAGUGCCAUAACGAGCGCAACCCCUAUCGUCAGUUACCAGCACGUAAAGGUGGGGACUCCGGCGAGACUGCCCGCGUAAGCGGUGAGGAAGGCGGGGAUGACGUCAAAUCAGCACGGCCCUUACAUCCGGGGCGGACACACGUGUUACAAUGGCAGGGACAAAGGGCAGCCACUCAGCGAUGAGGCGCAAAUCCCGUAAACCCUGUCUCAGUUCGGAUCGGAGUCUGCAACUCGACUCCGUGAAGCCGGAUUCGCUAGUAAUCGCGCAUCAGCCAUGGCGCGGUGAAUACG